UGAGAAAACCGAGACUCCCUUGAAGUAAAAUGAACUGCCCCAGGUAACACGGGGGGCUGCCAGAGGAGCUGCCUGAAGACAAGAUAUAUGCCUUGACCAAACAUCCGUCACCCACAGGGCAGAACCGCGUUAUCGCUCCCAAAUUAGGGCUGGAGACAUCCAGUCUGGGAUUUCUUAUCGGGCCCCCAGGUGCUGGGCUGAAACUGCAGUUUCGGUUCCCCCCCUACCCUAAACCAUUUGUUAUAAUCCCUUGACCCUGUUUCCUUAAUAACUGACCUACGUCGACCACCUUGUUUCACGCCUUGUACCCUUUAUAAGAUGCUUGUGUUCUCUCAAUAAAGGGGCUUGAUCAGA